rnacentral:rRNA from 1 species
UCCUACGGGAGGCAGCAGUGAGGAAUUUUGCGCAAUGGCCGCAAGGCUGACGCAGCAACGCCGCGUGGGUGAAGAAGGCCUUCGGGUCGUAAAGCCCUGUCAGGUGGGAAGAAACCCACGGGGGUGAAUAGUCCCCGUGCUUGACGGUACCACCAGAGGAAGCACCGGCUAAUUCCGUGCCAGCAGCCGCGGUAAUACGGAGGGUGCGAGCGUUAUUCGGAAUUACUGGGCGUAAAGCGCGUGCAGGCGGUCUGGCAAGUCUGAUGUGAAAGCCCCGGGCUUAACCUGGGAAGAGCAUUGGAAACGGUCGGACUUGAGUACUGGAGAGGAAGGGAGAAUUCCCGGUGUAGAGGUGAAAUUCGUAGAGAUCGGGAGGAACACCAGUGGCGAAGGCGCCCUUCUGGACAGCUACUGACGCUGAGACGCGAAAGCGUGGGGAGCAAACAGGAUUAGAUACCCGUGUAA